rnacentral:rRNA from 1 species
GAUCCUGGCUCAGGAUGAACGCUGGCGGCGUGCUUAACACAUGCAAGUCGAGCGAAGCAGUUAAGUUGAUUUCUUCGGAUUGAUUCUUGACUGACUGAGCGGCGGACGGGUGAGUAACGCGUGGGUAACCUGCCUCAUACAGGGGGAUAACAGUUAGAAAUGACUGCUAAUACCGCAUAAGCGCACAGUACCACAUGGUACGGUGUGAAAAACUCCGGUGGUAUGAGAUGGACCCG